rnacentral:rRNA from 1 species
AACGAACGCUGGCGGCAGGCUUAACACAUGCAAGUCGAACGGGCCCUUCGGGGUCAGUGGCAGACGGGUGAGUAACACGUGGGAACGUGCCCUUCAGUUCGGAAUAACCCAGGGAAACUUGGGCUAAUACCGGAUACGCCCCUUGGGGGAAAGAUUUAUCGCUGAAGGAUCGGCCCGCGUCUGAUUAGCUAGUUGGUGAGGUAAAGGCUCACCAAGGCGACGAUCAGUAGCUGGUCUGAGAGGANGAUCAGCCACACUGGGACUGAGACACGGCCCAGACUCCUACGGGAGGCAGCAGUGGGGAAUAUUGGACAAUGGGCGCAAGCCUGAUCCAGCCAUGCCGCGUGAGUGAUGAAGGCCUUAGGGUUGUAAAGCUCUUUCGGC